UCCGUAGGCGGGCAAUUAAGUCAGAGGUGAAAUCCCACAGCUCAACUGUGGAACUGCCUUUGAUACUGGUUGUCUUGAGUUAUAGUGAAGUAGAUAGAAUAUGUAGUGUAGCGGUGAAAUGCAUAGAUAUUACAUAGAAUACCGAUUGCGAAGGCAGUCUACUAACUGUAUACUGCCGCUAAUGGACGAAAGCGUGGGGAGCGAACAGGAUUAGAUACCCUGGUAGUCC
rnacentral:rRNA from 1 species